rnacentral:rRNA from 1 species
UACGUAGGGACCAAGCGUUGUUCGGAUUUACUGGGCGUAAAGCGCGCGUAGGCGGCUUUGUAAGUUAGAGGUGAAAGCCCGGGGCUCAACUCCGGAACUGCCUUUAAGACUGCAUCGCUUGAAUCCGGGAGAGGUGAGUGGAAUUCCGAGUGUAGAGGUGAAAUUCGUAGAUAUUCGGAAGAGCACCAGUGGCGAAGGCGGCUCACUGGACCGGUAUUGACGCUGAGGUGCGAAAGCGUGGGGAGCAAACAGG